ensembl:lncRNA
UCAAGGUGACCUUCAUUUCGACCUUGACCUAGAGUAAAUACUCAAAUUGUGUAAUGCUAAACACACAUACAAACGAAUAUAUUACAAUUAAAAUGGUAAGGGUAUGAUUCAAUUCAGCGUGUGUGGCUUUUCGGUGGAGCAGCCUCCAUCCAGCAGCAGCAGUGGAGACAAUUAGAUUCACAUGGAUCCGGAUUCUUCUUCUCAGACCAUGUGUAGAGUCAUCUUGUGGGACUGAUCUCAGGCAAGAGGUUGUGAGAGCUGCUAAGAUGAACCAAGCUGUGUAAGAUGAGGACAAUGUUCUGUCUGGAGUCAGCCGAAUCAAUCCUCAUCACCAUUCAGCCCACCGAACCGGAUUGGUCUUCCUGGGAGUCCGACCCAGGCUCCGAGGCAGCCUCUGCCCUCCCCGACUCAGGAGAGACGUCUCCCCCCCUUUGGCAGAGAGCUUCAAACGGAGCAGCUGGGAGAGGUCUGUGGGGAGUCAGGAGGAUUGAGGGCUAUUUCUGAUCAACACAGCAUUACAUACACUGCUGGGCAAGGGAAGAGACCAAAAUACUCGGUGUGAUGCGGGAAAGCAUUUGAUUCUGUUUGGAUUAAAGAGGUACAUUCUCCACAAGUGGGGGAGUCUUACUGUCUUUCACGUGUUCUCUUAUAGAAAACCCCUAGAAAAGGAAGCUUGUGUGUGUGUGAAUAUGAGAGUGAGAGAGACACAUGAGUAUGAAUGAGAGAUAGAAUGUGUUUGUGUGAGAGAAUAACAUCUGUGACGGGAAGACGUGUGUGUGUGUGUGUGUGUGUGUGUGUGUGUGUGUGUGUGUGUGUGUGUGUGUGUGUGAGGGAGAGAGAGAGAGAGAAAGAGAGAAACGGGGGGGGGGGGGGCAGAGAGCGAGAACCCAAUGUAAGGAAAACAUGAGUAAAAAUGGUAUGUAUGAGCAUCUGCACACAUGUACUGUACUUCACUGCAUGUGUGCUUCAGACUGAAGGGUCCUGGCUUGCUCUGGGCUUGUUUGGGCCCUGGCUUUAUUGCCCAGGAGACGUGAACAGACCAGACGCUGCUUGCGUUCAUUUCACUUCACAGUAGAGGGGAGAUAAAUCACUUGCCUGACAACAGUCAAUCUCUCCACCAUACCCGCUGUUAGAACCUGGCUUCCUAUGCACAAGUCUGGACAGCUCUGGAACAGGCCUGUGCUAAGGCACAAGAAAGACAACACGGUGAAGAUUGCGCAUAUACUGCUGACGUUGUUGGAGAAGUUGGAUCUCCAUGCUGGAGAUGAUAUAAGUGAA